CUUGAGCGACCCUAAGCAAUGCGCGGAACACAUUAUGCUCGUCGACUUAGGAAGAAAUGACGUGGGGAAGGUUGACCCUUAACACCCUCUUUUCACUCUCCAGGAAACUCUCAUGACUGUAUGUUUAACUUCCACCUUUGCUUUGUGUCUGCAGGUUUCCAAAAGCGGCUCAGUCAAGGUGGAGAAACUCAUGGACAUCGAGAGAUAUUCCCAUGUCAUGCACAUUAGUUCAACGGUAAAGUACCUCACUUGGAUUCAAGCUUCUCCCCACAGCCUUAAUUAAACUCCUGAAGGGCUUUUCCUUUGUCAUCAUCAUCAGGUCACGGGAGAACUGCAGGAGAAUGUUUCAUGCUGGGACGCACUCAGGGCAGCACUUCCAGU
rnacentral:lncRNA from 1 species